rnacentral:rRNA from 1 species
AUGGCGGGUGGAGUAGAUGGGCUACUUGUGGUGGCCUGGAAAGGGUGGGGGAUCGAAGUGAUGGUGCUCCUAAGCUUCACAGUGCAGGUCACGCUCCUCCUCUUUGCUGGUAUUCGUCGGCACAAAGACUCCAUCGUGCUAAAGUUCAUCAUUUGGUCAGCAUACAUGCUGGCCGACACGACGGCAUUAUACGCACUGGGACACAUGUCCUUACUGAGUAGGACGCCUGAGCACCAGCUCACGGCGCUCUGGGCGCCGUUGCUGCUGGUGCACCUUGGUGGCCAGGACAACAUAACUGCCUAUGCUAUCGAGGACAAUCGCUUGUGGCUACGUCACCUGCAGGCUUUCGGACUGCAGGUCCUUGCAUAUGUGUUGCAUGUGUCUUCCAUCUUCGGCAGCCGGACCUGGCUCCGUCCGGCCGCCAUCCUCAUGUUUGUGGUCGGGGUUCUCAAG